rnacentral:rRNA from 1 species
AUACGGAGGAUCCGAGCGUUAUCCGGAUUUAUUGGGUUUAAAGGGUGCGUAGGUGGUUUGAUAAGUCAGCGGUGAAAGUUUGCAGCUUAACUGUAAAAAUGCCGUUGAAACUGUCGGACUUGAGUGUAAAUGAGGUAGGCGGAAUGCGUGGUGUAGCGGUGAAAUGCAUAGAUAUCACGCAGAACUCCGAUUGCGAAGGCAGCUUACUAAGCUACAACUGACACUGAAGCACGAAAGCGUGGGGAUCAAACAGGAUUAGAUACCCUGGUAGUCCACGCAGUAAACGAUGAUUACUAGCUGUUUGCGAUACACAGUAAGCGGCACAGCGAAAGCGUUAAGUAAUCCACCUGGGGAGUACGCCGGCAACGGUGAAACUCAAAUGAAUCGACGGGG